UAUAAUGUACAUUUUAUAUUUCAGAUGAAUUUACAACUGAUUUUCUGGAUUGGACUGAUCAGUUCAGUUUGCUAUGUGUUUGGCCAAGCAGAUGAAAAUAGAUGUUUAAAAGCAAAUGCCAAAUCAUGUGGAGAAUGUAUACAAGCAGGGCCAAAUUGUGGAUGGUGUACAAAUUCAACAUUUUUACAAGAAGGAAUGCCUACUUCUGCACGAUGUGAUGAUUUAGAAGCCUUAAAAAAGAAGGGUUGUCAUCCAGAUGAUAUAGAAAAUCCCAGAGGUUCCAAAGAUAUAAAGAAAAAUAAAAAUGUAACCAAUCGUAGCAAAGGAACUGCAGAGAAGCUCAAACCAGAAGAUAUUACGCAGAUCCAACCACAGCAGCUGGUUUUGCAAUUACGAUCAGGGGAGCCUCAAACAUUUGCAUUAAAAUUCAAGAGAGCUGAAGACUAUCCCAUUGAUCUCUACUACCUAAUGGACCUUUCUUACUCUAUGAAAGAUGACUUGGAGAAUGUAAAAAGUCUUGGAACAGAUCUGAUGAAUGAAAUGAAGAGGAUUACUUCGGACUUCCGAAUAGGGUUUGGCUCAUUUGUGGAGAAGACUGUGAUGCCUUACAUUAGUACAACACCAGCUAAGCUCAAGAACCCUUGCACAAGUGAACAGAACUGCACCAGCCCAUUUAGCUACAAAAAUGUGCUCAGUCUUACUGAUAAAGGGGGAGUAUUUAAUGAUCUUGUUGGUAAACAGCGCAUAUCUGGAAAUUUGGAUUCUCCAGAAGGUGGUUUUGAUGCAAUCAUGCAAGUUGCAGUUUGUGGGUCAUUGAUUGGCUGGAGGAAUGUUACACGGCUGCUGGUAUUUUCUACGGAUGCUGGGUUUCACUUUGCUGGAGAUGGGAAACUUGGUGGCAUUGUUUUACCAAAUGAUGGACAGUGUCACCUGGAAAAUGAUAUGUACACAAUGAGCCAUUAUUAUGAUUAUCCUUCUAUCGCUCACCUUGUCCAGAAAUUAAGUGAAAAUAACAUUCAGACAAUUUUUGCAGUUACUGAAGAAUUUCAGCCCGUUUACAAGGAGCUGAAAAAUUUGAUCCCUAAGUCAGCAGUAGGAACAUUAUCUGCAAAUUCCAGCAAUGUAAUUCAGUUGAUCAUUGAUGCAUACAAUUCCCUUUCCUCAGAAGUAAUUUUGGAAAACAGCAAAUUGCCAGAAGGAGUAACAAUAAAUUAUAAAUCUUACUGCAAAAAUGGGGUGAAUGGAACAGGGGAAAAUGGAAGAAAAUGCUCCAAUAUUUCCAUUGGAGAUGAGGUUCAAUUUGAAAUUAGCAUAACUUCAAAUAAAUGUCCAAAUAAGAAUUCUGAAACCAUUAAAAUUAAACCUCUGGGCUUCACUGAAGAAGUAGAGAUUAUUCUUCAGUUCAUCUGUGAGUGUGACUGCCAAAGUGAAGGCAUCCCUAGCAGUCCAAAGUGUCACGAAGGGAAUGGAACGUUUGAGUGUGGAGCUUGCAGGUGCAAUGAGGGACGUGUUGGCAGACAUUGUGAAUGUAGCACAGAUGAAGUUAACAGUGAAGAUAUGGAUGCCUAUUGCAGGAAAGAAAACAGUUCAGAAAUCUGUAGUAACAACGGAGAGUGUGUCUGUGGACAGUGUGUUUGUAGGAAGAGGGAUAAUACAAAUGAAAUUUAUUCUGGCAAAUUCUGCGAGUGUGAUAAUUUCAACUGUGAUAGAUCCAAUGGCUUAAUUUGUGGAGGAAAUGGUGUUUGCAAGUGUCGUGUGUGUGAAUGUAAUCCCAACUACACAGGCAGUGCGUGUGACUGCUCUCUGGACACGACUUCAUGCAUGGCCACAAACGGACAGAUCUGCAAUGGCCGGGGCGUCUGUGAGUGUGGUGCCUGUAAAUGCACGGAUCCCAAGUUUCAAGGGCCAACUUGUGAGAUGUGUCAGACCUGCCUUGGCGUCUGUGCUGAGCAUAAAGAAUGUGUUCAGUGCAGAGCCUUCAAUAAAGGAGAAAAGAAAGACACAUGUGCACAGGAAUGUUCCCAUUUUAACAUUACCAAGGUUGAAAGUCGGGACAAAUUACCCCAGCCAGGCCAGGUGGAUCCCCUGUCCCACUGUAAGGAGAAGGAUGUUGACGAUUGCUGGUUCUAUUUCACAUAUUCAGUGAAUGGGAACAAUGAGGCCAUUGUACACGUUGUAGAGACUCCAGAGUGUCCCACUGGUCCAGACAUCAUUCCAAUUGUAGCUGGUGUGGUUGCUGGAAUUGUUCUGAUUGGUCUUGCAUUGCUGCUAAUUUGGAAGCUUUUAAUGAUAAUUCACGACAGAAGGGAAUUUGCCAAAUUUGAAAAGGAAAAAAUGAAUGCCAAAUGGGACACGCAAGAAAAUCCGAUUUACAAGAGUCCUAUUAAUAAUUUCAAGAAUCCAAACUAUGGACAUAAAGCUGGUCUCUAAGUUGCCGCAUUCAAAACUACUAAAAGAGAAACCAUAACAGCACAUUCUCUGCUAUGGAGGACAUUCUCCAAUCAACUCUCCAGUACAGAAUGGACUCAGGAAUGAAAUAAUGCCAGUUCCUAGGGUGAAAAUCCUAUUUAUAAGAGUGCUGUGACAACUGUUGUCAAUCCGAAGUAUGAGGGAAAAUGAGCACUACCUAUACCAAUUUUACAACAUUGAAUGCAAAAUAGUGAAUUUCAUAGUCACAGAGGAAGAUAGCUUUAGGGCACUGUCCCCAUGGGUUUUACUUGUGUAGGUUUUGAAAAUGUAUAAUAUGUAUAAUUAAAAAAUGUUUUUUGUUAUUUUGAAAAUAAUAUUAUAAUCAAUGCCAGGGACUGACAUAAUACUUGAGACAGGAUGGUUAUCCUUGUCAGCUAAGGUCACUUCGUGCCUUUUUUUACCUUUUCUUCCUGGACUAUUGAAAUCAAGCUCUUGUUUGAUUAAGUGAUAUUUCUAGAAUGACUGAAAGGACAGUAGUUAAAGUAGUGAGUAUGCUGAGAGUUUCUUUUAAUCAAGUAUUCAAACUGAUUUUUAGCUUUAUAGAUAUGUCAUUUUCAGUUAUUAAAAAAAAUCCAAAGUAAUCGUCUUACUAGCUGGCUUAGAAAUUGUUUUAAAUUUAUUUUGCUAUUUUCCUAGACAUGAUUGAUGACAUAUCUGAAAGAUGAAUGAAUAUAUUAGGAGUUAGUUGUGUAAAAUAGUUUUGAAAUAUUUGAUAUGCAAAGGCCAUGGGAAAAUGUCAGUUAGGAAGGGAAAAACAGCUUGAAAAGCUGUGUGCCAUUUUAAGAAUUACUUAAUUCUUGGAACUUUUCAUGCCUUCUCUAUAAAUUCAAGCCUUGGAUAAAAGUAUUGGGAAAUUUUCUGCAAAAAGUUCUUAAUUUAUCAUUAUUUACCUAAAGGCCUUAAAUUACAUAGUAUUUUUUGAAUUGGCAACUUUUGGGUUAUGUUAUUUUGUUUAAAGCCUGGUGCUUUUUAUCACCACUUCUAAUCAUUUAACGUAUUUACAAUUUUGAAGUAAGACGUUUUUUAAUUAGUACUUUAAUUAGUAGCUGUAAAUUUGCCUUUUUAAUGAACAGGUGAAGUUGUACUGUGGUUUAAGCAACAGCUAUCACUGUGCCAGGCAUGCUUUCAGUUAGUUAGUGCUGUAUAACAGGCCACUGUACAUUACUCCUCACUGUUUGAGUUGACCAUUUUGUUUCAUACUGGUCACAUUCUUAUUUUAAGUGCCUUUUAAUUUUAACAGUUCACUUUUUACAAUGCUGUUUACUGAAGUUAUUUAUUAAAUAAAAAUGCAUAAAAUAACAAA